rnacentral:rRNA from 2 species
UCGGAGAGUUUGAUCCUGGCUCAGGAUGAACGCUGGCGGCGUGCCUAAUACAUGCAAGUCGAGCGAACUGAUUAGAAGCUUGCUUCUAUGACGUUAGCGGCGGACGGGUGAGUAACACGUGGGCAACCUGCCUGUAAGUCUGGGAUAACUUCGGGAAACCGAAGCUAAUACCGGAUAGGAUCUUCUCCUUCAUGGGAGAUGAUUGAAAGAUGGUUUCGGCUAUCACUUACAGAUGGGCCCGCGGUGCAUUAGCUAGUUGGUGAGGUAACGGCUCACCAAGGCAACGAUGCGUAGCCGACCUGAGAGGGUGAUCGGCCACACUGGGACUGAGACACGGCCCAGACUCCUACGGGAGGCAGCAGUAGGGAAUCUUCCGCAAUGGACGAAAGUCUGACGGAGCAACGCCGCGUGAGUGAUGAAGGCUUUCGGGUCGUAAAACUCUGUUGUUAGGGAAGAACAAGUACAAGAGUAACUGCUUGUACCUUGACGGUACCUAACCAGAAAGCCACGGCUAACUACGUGCCAGCAGCCGCGGUAAUACGUAGGUGGCAAGCGUUAUCCGGAAUUAUUGGGCGUAAAGCGCGCGCAGGCGGUUUCUUAAGUCUGAUGUGAAAGCCCACGGCUCA